rnacentral:rRNA from 1 species
UGCGUAGGCGGCAUUAUAAGUCAGAGGUGAAAGCUUACAGCUUAACUGUGAAAUUGCCUUUGAAACUGUAAUGCUUGAAUCACGUUGAGGUCAGCGGAAUGUGACAUGUAGCGGUGAAAUGCAUAGAUAUGUCAUAGAACACCAAUUGCGAAGGCAGCUGGCUAGGCGUGUAUUGACGCUGAGGCACGAAAGCGUGGGGAGCGAACAGGAUUAGAUACCCUGGUAGUCCC